rnacentral:rRNA from 1 species
AACGAACGCUGGCGGCAUGCCUAACACAUGCAAGUCGAGCGAGACCUUCGGGUCUAGUGGCGCACGGGUGCGUAACGCGUGGGAAUCUGCCCUUGGGUUCGGAAUAACAGUUAGAAAUGACUGCUAGUACCGGAUGAUGACUUCGGUCCAAAGAUUUAUCGCCCAAGGAUGAGCCCGCGUAGGAUUAGCUAGUUGGUAGGGUAAAGGCCUACCAAGGCGACGAUCCUUAGCUGGUCUGAGAGGAUGAUCAGCCACACUGGGACUGAGACACGGCCCAGACUCCUACGGGAGGCAGCAGUGGGGAAUAUUGGACAAUGGGCGAAAGCCUGAUCCAGCAAUGCUGCGUGAGUGAUGAAGGCCCUAGGGUUGUAAAGCUCUUUUACCCGGGAUGAUAAUGACAGUACCGGGAGAAUAAGCCCCGGCUAACUCCGUGCCAGCCGCCGCUGUAAAAC